AUCAAAUUGUAUUUAAAAAAUAUAUUUAUUGCCAAGCCCACAUUUCUACAAUAUGCGGGCUGGCCGCAUAGAAAUCGUGUCCAUAAAUUUUUGGGCUACAAUUUUCUUUUCUUAUUUUUACUUUGUUAUUAUAAAAUGGAAUACUAGUGACUGGUGUUGGACUUCAGUAUUUUUUGUUUUCAUGAAAAUUUGGUUCCACAUUAUUCCACACCAAGACGAACAUAUUGAUUUAAAAAGCGGACCACCUAUACACAAAAAAUGAGUGCCUUUUUAUACCAAGACACACACAGCCAUGGUAAUGACUUUUUUUUAUUAUUUAUUAGUGGAUUUUUAAAGUUUCUAAAUUGUUACCUAUAAUAAAAAAAUAAUUUGUUAAAUAAUUGAGUGUGUUUCACCAACGGGGGUUGACUUGAUGAGGCAAUCUGAUUUGUGGUUAGCUUUAAUAGAUGUGGUAAAACACAGCAUUAGAAAAGCUGUCACACAUCAUGCCUAGUUGGUCCAUUGAGGCGGAGUGGGUGCCUAAGCGCUCCGCCUGGGCUGAUGCCGCCCUCCUAGGCAGCCUGCACCAAGGCGGCUGAUGUGGCCCUCCUAGGUAUCCUGUCCCUUGGCAGGCGCGUUGUACCUUGAGGUGCCCUUUUUCGUACUGUGUUUUUGUGUAUCUGUAUGGCACUUUGAAAACCGGGGCGUUGCCAUCAGGGGGCUGCAUCCUACCUUGGUGGCGCUUCAUUUUUUCAACAAUGGUGAUACAUAUGUCAUGGCUUCUUUCUCGUUAUGGGUUUUACUAUUUAUAGAAAAACAAAUGUGUACUAUAUAUAGAAAAACAGGUGGAAAUGUGUGUUUUUAGCAUGCAUGCAGUAAAGUUACUGGAUACUUCUGAGUGGCCAAAGAUUUGCUGACUUGCCAUGAUCAGGUACAUUGCACUUAAGAGUUUCAUAUAUUCACUCACAUGUAACUUGUUAUAUUCAUUUUUUAGCAGUUCUUAUGAAGACAUUGUUUUUUAGAAAAACAAAUGGGUACUAUAUAUAGAAAACAGGUUGAAAUGUGUGUUUUUUAGCAUGCAUGCAAUAAAGUCACUGGAUACUUCCGAGUGGCCAAAGAUUUGCAGCCUUGCCAUGAUCAGGUACAUUGCACUCAAGAGUUUUAUAUAUUCACUCACAUGUAACUUGUUAUAUUCAUUUUUUAGCAGUUCUUAUGAAGACAUUAUUUUUUAGUUUCUGUUCUGGAUAACUCGAGUUUUAUUUUUAUGUGACUUAUGUGUUGGAAUUCUGAAACGUGCCAUGUUAUAGAAGCUGGAAUGACCAAAUGAUAGCCUGACAAGAUAAGUUCAGUUUUCUGGUUGGUUUCCUCACAGGUUGCAGAAAGAUGAAGAUUUGAUGAUUUUCCUGAUUCAGCCGGUAUUUCUAAUUGCAUCCUCUUCCCUUUUGCUAGAUUUGAUUUUGAGGAUUGAUUUGUGGUAAACAAACCAUAGGGGUGGUCUUUUUCUGAUGCAUAUGAAGCAGGAAUCAGUUCAUAUUUGAUUUCAGAUGUGGUCAGUGGUCCUAUUAGCAAAUUUGUUUUUACACAAUUGUAAGUAAUUGUUAGGCUGUUCAUUGUGCAUGAACUUUCUGAAUGUAAUUGUUCUUAUUUAAAUUUAGUGGAGGAUAGACAUCCGUUUUUUAAAUAAGGGUUGUUUCUUUUCAUUAGGUCCUUCACGAUUUGUCUUGCUAUUGAUUCUGUCAUUUUCAUGAUUUGGUCAUCCAUAUUCAACUUGGAUAAGGGAGUAAAGCUCAAAUUGGUUGGUCAUCUGGUACAUUUGAACACUUUGAUUUAUCCGAACCUUUUUUCCUGUAUGGGCGACUAAUGGUCAUAGCGAGAACUUACUGGGGAUAUGUUAGAAGUGAUCAGAAAAAUUGAUCGUGAUAGAUGGAAUAUGCUGGAAGUUGUAAAUGAUUUCGACUUGUUCUUUAUGUUCAAUAACAAGGACCUGGAAAAUCCUUGGGAUCUGGAAAACCUGGCUACAAGAAAACCAGCCCUUUCUUCGAUAACCUGUCUGGAUUCCAUGGGAUUGUGGUAUCCCUUGUUUGAUUGAACCUGGGAUUAUGGGUACCCAGUUUGUGGCCAUCUGCUUGGAAAAUCUGUGCAUAGCUCGUGGCCAUCUGUGAAGAAAUCCCAAAGGAACUUGUGAACAAGCCAAAAUUUUCUCCAAUUGAUGCAAACGAACAGCAAUCCUCUUUGCUAUUGUUACGAACCCCGAAAGAGAAAUUGGUAGCAAAGAAAGUUAGGAAUGAAGAGAUUGUACCCAAGUCAUCAGCAGUAAGACUGGCUAUUCGAAAAGUCCUCUGCCUCGUACACAUCAAUCACCCGAUCAAAUGUGGCAUGGCCCAGAUUUAUUAGCUGUAGCUUGAGCCCAUGUCUUAGAAUGAGCUUGAGACCGAGCCAUGAAGUCAGGAUCAUUGAUCGACCUUCUCACCUCAGAUAUUUCGAGUUUGCAAUAGUCACUGGCGUAGGCACUGUGUUUGGGGAUAUUAUCUGUUAAUAUUGUGCAAGUGUUGCUUAAUAUCGGGCUUGGUUCUUUCAGGAAUUUAUGUGUUCUCAAAGUUCUGUAGCAUGGAUAGGGUAGUUCUUUAUUAACUUUUAGAGAUCAGUUUAGUUUUCUAUGACUGCAGUGGAAAAGUCAGAUGGUCCUCCGUCCUUGAGAGAGAGCGAGAUGUUUGGUGUUUCAAUCCAUGGCUGCCUAAGGAAGUAGAAAGCUUUUGCAGGGCAGAGGGUGCCAAUGUCUGUUGUGUGGGCGAGCGGGGAGGGGGUGAAGUAGGAAUGGUGCGUCAUUGCUGCUUUAGGUGGAAACGUAAAUUGUGGAACCAGGAAUUCCCAUUGUUAAAUGUGGUAUUUCGGCAAUUCUGGGGGAGCCCAAGCCAGGAUUGGACUAUCCCCUUAUUGGAUCUGCUCUGCGUUUAAACAUAUGGGGAUGUAAAGCCUUGUUAACUUGUUUGAGGGGGGGAAAAACAUGUGGGAUGGAAGCUUUUGAUAUUGGGUGAUUGAUGGCCUUAUUAUGGACUCAUUUGGAUAUUUUUAUUAGUUUUCUGGUUUGCUUCCCACCCCUUCCCCCUUUCAAGAUUUUUUUUCAACCUUUAUAUGAAUUUUGGCUUUGAUAUGACUCUCCCCUCACCCAAACACAAAAAAAGAGAGUGAUUUUCUGCCAUUUUUUAUAAGAUUUGUAGCUUUGCAGGAGUUAUUUUACACAACUCAGAUCACAAAUUCACUUACCUGAAAGUGCAAGGUCACAUUUACCCUAGAGGCUCUGUAUUGAGAGGGCCCUUUAUGGUAGAAUUUGUCUACAUGUUUGGAUAAGGUUGGUGUUGGAUUAUAGGGGUGCCUACCUUUUAGCUAUUGAUUAAUGCAUGAUUUGUGUUGUCUGUAGCAUUGCCCCUAACAUUUUUGGCACAGGGUUUUUGAGGAGGAGCUGCAACUUGGUCUCCAGGCAAGGAGCUUAUAUCGAUAAUAUCAACGACCUUAGUGUGGUGCUCGCUGCAAAUAUACUGUUAUUUCCAUGCCCUUGUGCAGUGCAUAGCAUGGACCUCUCAGUAUUGGCCAAGUGAUCUCGCUCUCUCUAUCUGUGGCCCUCUUAAGUACUCUCUCUCUCUUCUCUCUUCCCCCAUGGCCUGUCUUAGGUUAUUAGCAGUAUGGCUCUCUCUCUCUCCACCAUGUCCUUUCAGUAUUGGCGGUAUGAAGGCCCUCAGCCCACCCAGAAAUGCUCUCUCUCCACCAUGUCCUUUCAGUAUUGGCGGUAUGAAGGCCCUCAGCCCACCCAGAAAUUCGUGAUAUGAUGCUCUCCCUGCCCCACAAGAAAAAGAAGACAACGCACCCACCCAUUGGUCCUCAGCAUUUGAUCUCUCUCUCUCACCCGUUCCUGGGCACGUUUAAGAAAUGAAUGGGAUUCACUUUCACAAGUCUCUCUCUCACUCACUCACUCCCGGGCAUUUUUUAAGGAAUGAAUGGGAUGCACUGACUGAGGUCUCUCUCUCUCUCCUGGGCAUUUUUAUGGGGGUACUUGUGUUGGUGUUUACUGCUUUAAUAGGGAUCUUGGGAUGGGUAAGUGAAUCCAUAGGCUCUUGGGUAGGGAAAUUGUUUAUAAAGAUGUUGGCAGGAAAGAUUGGAACUUAGUGGAUGUGGGGAUUGAAUGUGGCCAGUCUUGAGUUGUUCCCAAGUAAAAGGAGAGGGAAGGUCUAGACUGCUCAAUGUGGGCAUUACAAAUCCUGCCUCAUGGUUGCAUUGAACUUGGUAACCGGUUAGGCAUGGGAAAAAGGAAUUGGGAUAGGUUAGUCUGUUGGCUUCUUUAUACGAUUGACACCCCUUUCGCUCGAAACCACAUGUUUACAAGUGACUUGAGACUUAAAACCCCUGGCCUCUCUUACUUAGCCGCACAUGUUUACAACUAACAUGGAGCUAAAGGGCCUUGAAAGCUAGGUUAGUUUAUUUGAGUUCUUAGGAUAAAGAAUUUAGGUUCACCCUGUUUUCUCAUCCAAAUGUAUAUUACAACCUGCCUCAGUUUGUGUUUCGUGUACACGAGCCAAGGGUUUAGUGGCCUCUCUUAUUGCAUUUGCAUAUUUGGAUGUUGGAGGGGCCUUUCCUAGACUUCUUCAGUCUAAGAGUGAUGCCAAAUAUGGUUGUUUUUAUGCACUCUUAAGCUCUGUUUCUUUAAAGUUGCGAGCCGGUGUGGCAGCCCGUAGACCCGUGUGGUAAUCUCAUGGGCUGUGGGAAGAACUAUAUUUUGUGAUAUUCCUUUUCUAUAAAACUAGGAAGUUAUUUCAUGAGGAAAAGAUUGGUUUAUAUGCAAAUAGGUGUAUAUGCAAUUGCUUUAA